rnacentral:rRNA from 1 species
UAGGGAAUCUUCCACAAUGGACGCAAGUCUGAUGGAGCAACGCCGCGUGAGUGAAGAAGGUUUUCGGACCGUAAAGCUCUGUUGUUGGUGAAGAAGGAUAGAGGUAGUAACUGGCCUUUAUUUGACGGUAAUCAACCAGAAAGUCACGGCUAACUACGUGCCAGCAGCCGCGGUAAUACGUAGGUGGCAAGCGUUGUCCGGAUUUAUUGGGCGUAAAGCGAGCGCAGGCGGAAGAAUAAGUCUGAUGUGAAAGCCCUCGGCUUAACCGAGGAAUUGCAUCGGAAACUGUUUUUCUUGAGUGCAGAAGAGGAGAGUAGAACUCCAUGUGUAGCGGUGGAAUGCGUAGAUAUAUGGAAGAAUACCAGUGGCGAAGGCGGCUCUCUGGUCUGCAACUGACGCUGAGGCUCGAAAGCAUGGGUAGCGAACAGGAUUAGAUACCCUGGUAGUCCAUGCCGUAAACGAUGAGUGCUAAGUGUUGGGAGGCUUCCGCCUCUCAGUGCUGCAGCUAACGCAUUAAGCACUCCGCCUGGGGGAGUACGACCGCAAGGUUGA